GUUCUUCAAAGAAGGAGUCCAGGGCCACUUGUCCAGUCGGGAGGGCGGCAGACAACGCUCCUGACAAUGCCAGUAGUUCCUGACACGACAUGGUCCCGCCCGCCGCCGCGCGCUCCUCCGCCGUGUCGCCUGUCGGCAGUAAGAUGGGGAAAGUUUCGAGUGCUUACAAGCAACAGAAGAGCACACAUUGUGCGGAUGUGCACCGUGAGGAGUGGUCGGAGUGUGCAGCAACACGGUGUCACUGAACAUCACAGAGGAACGACGACGGCUCAAUGAGGGCGGCGAUAGUAGUGAUAGAUUUGAUGCAUUCUGUGGAAAAUCUAUCAUUGUACGAUCUCUACUGAUUUCGUAUUAUUGGACCUAGAUAAGUAUUAUAGCUAAACAAUAUAUAUGAUACAACCCAAAA